rnacentral:rRNA from 1 species
CCUACGGGUGGCAGCAGUGGGGAAUAUUGGGCAAUGGAGGAAACUCUGACCCAGCAACGCCGCGUGAAUGAUGAAGGUUUUCGGAUUGUAAAGUUCUUUUCUUAGGGAAGAAGAAAGUGACGGUACCUUAGAAAUAAGCCUCGGCUAACUACGUGCCAGCAGCCGCGGUAAUACGUAGGAGGCAAGCGUUAUCCGGAAUGACUGGGCGUAAAGGGUGCGUAGGUGGGUUGUUAAGUUGGUUGCGAAACUCCGAGGCUCAACCUGGGCACGUCUUCCGAAACUGUCGGACUUGAGUGCAGGAGAGGCGACUGGAAUUCCUAGUGUAGCGGUGGAAUGCGUAGAUAUUAGGAGGAACACCAGUGGCGAAGGCGAGUUGCUGGACUGUAACUGACGCUGAGGCACGAAAGCGUGGGGAGCAAACAGGAUUAGAUACCCCAGUAGUC